rnacentral:rRNA from 1 species
AGAGUUUGAUCCCGGCUCAGGACGAACGCUGGCGGCGUGCUUAACACAUGCAAGUCGAACGAUGAAGCCUAGCUUGCUAGGUGGAUUAGUGGCGAACGGGUGAGUAAUACGUGAGUAACCUACCUUUAACUCUGGGAUAAGCCUGGGAAACUGGGUCUAAUACCGGAUACGACCAAUCUCCGCAUGGGGUGUUGGUGGAAAGCGUUAUGUAGUGGUUAUAGAUGGGCUCACGGCCUAUCAGCUUGUUGGUGAGGUAACGGCUCACCAAGGCGACGACGGGUAGCCGGCCUGAGAGGGUGACCGGCCACACUGGGACUGAGACACGGCCCAGACUCCUACGGGAGGCAGCAGUGGGGAAUAUUGCACAAUGGGCGCGAGCCUGAUGCAGCGACGCCGCGUGAGGGAUGACGGCCUUCGGGUUGUAAACCUCUGUUAGCAGGGAAGAAGAGAAAUUGACGGUACCUGCAGAGAAAGCGCCGGCUAACUACGUGC